GCUUGGCCCUAAACCUCAGUAGUUAGAUAACAAAACUACUCGCCAGAAUACUACAAGCAACAGCUUGAAACUCAAAGGACUUGACGGUGCUUUACAUCCCCCUAGAGGAGCCUGUUCCAUAAUCGAUAAACCCCGAUCCACCCUACCCUCUCUUGCUCAGCCUAUAUACCGCCAUCUUCAGCAAACCCUAAUGAAGGCCACAAAGUGAGCGCAAACGCCGCCGCCGCGAAUACGUUAGGUCAAGGUGUAGCCCAUGAGACGGUAAAAAAUGGGCUACAUUUUCUAUUUCAGAAAACCCACGAAAACCCUUAUGAAACUUAAGGGUCCAAGGAGGAUUUAGCAGUAAAUUAAGAAUAGAGUGCUUAAUUGAACCAGGCCAUAAAGCGCG
rnacentral:rRNA from 1 species